rnacentral:rRNA from 1 species
GACGAACGCUGGCGGCGUGCCUAACACAUGCAAGUCGAACGGAGUUGAUUCUUCGGAAUUAACUUAGUGGCGAACGGGUGAGUAACGCGUGAGAAACCUGCCUGUCAGUGGGGGACAACAGUUGGAAACAACUGCUAAUACCGCAUAAUGUUAUUUGGGGGCAUCCCUGGAUAACCAAAGCUUUAUGUGCUGAAAGAUGGUCUCGCGUCUGAUUAGCUAGAUGGCGGGGUAACGGCCCACCAUGGCGACGAUCAGUAGCCGGUCUGAGAGGAUGAACGGCCACAUUGGGACUGAGAUACGGCCCAGACUCCUACGGGAGGCAGCAGUGGGGAAUAUUGGGCAAUGGGGGAAACCCUGACCCAGCAACGCCGCGUGAAGGAAGAAGGCCUUCGGGUUGUAAACUUCUUUUACCAGGGACGAAGAACGUGACGGUACCUGGAGAAAAAGCAACGGCUAACUACGUGCCAGCCGCCGCAGUAACAC